UGAAUUGAAGGGAGUAACGGUCGUGACAACGGUCAAAAACAUUUUACGAGAAAGCAAGUUGUCACGUUCGUGACAGCAUGCGUGACAGGUGUCAUGGGGGUGUGGCGACCGUGACAGCAUGCGUUACGCUCGUCACACCUCUGAUCAUGCAACGGUCAAAACGUUCGUGACAACAUGCGUGUUUAAUUAUUAUUAUAUAUUUU
rnacentral:lncRNA from 1 species